rnacentral:rRNA from 1 species
GACGAACGCUGGCGGCGUGCUUAACACAUGCAAGUCGAACGGAAAGGCCCUGCUUUUGUGGGGUUCUCGAGUGGCGAACGGGUGUGUAACCCGUGAGUAACCUGCCCUUUACUUUGUGAUAACUUCAGGAAACUGCUGCUAAUACCGGCUAGGUGCUCCUGCUGCAUGGUGGUGUUUGGACAUUUUCGGCGGUUGGGGAUGGACUCGCGGCUUAUCAGCUUGUUGGUGGGGUAGUGGCUUACCAAGGCUUUGACGGGUAGCCGGCCUGAGAGGGUGACCGGCCACAUGGGGACUGAGAUACGGACCAGAGUCCUACGGGAGGCAGCAGUGGGGAAUAUUGCACAAUGGGCGGAAGCGUGAUGCAGCAACGCCGCGAGCGGGAUGACGGCCUUCGGGUUGUAAACCGCUGUCGCCUGUGACGAAGCGGGAGUGACGGUAAUGGGUAAAGAAGCACCGGCUAACUACGUG